UACGAAGGGGGCUAGCGUUGUUCGGAUUUACUGGGCGUAAAGCGCGCGCAGGCGGCUUUGCAAGUCAGGGGUGAACUCCCAGAGCUCAACUCCGGAAUUGCCUUUGGGACUGUGAGGCUUCGAGUACGGGAGAGGUGAGUGGAAUUCCCAGUGGAGAGGUGAAAUGCGUAGAUAUUGGGAAGAACACCGGUGGCGAAGGCGGCUCACUGGCCCGUUACUGACGCUGAGGCGCGACAGCGUGGGGAUCAAACAGG
rnacentral:rRNA from 1 species